UACGCUCCUGGUCUUAAUUGG
rnacentral:siRNA from 1 species